GGGGUGGCGGCUCAGUGGCAGAGCGCUUGCCUGGCAUGUGUGAGGCACUGGGUUCCAUCCUCAGCACCCCA
rnacentral:tRNA from 1 species